rnacentral:rRNA from 1 species
ACUGAACGCUGGCGGCAUGCCUUACACAUGCAAGUCGAACGGCAGCACGGGUGCUUGCACCUGGUGGCGAGUGGCGAACGGGUGAGUAAUACAUCGGAACAUGUCCUGUAGUGGGGGAUAGCCCGGCGAAAGCCGGAUUAAUACCGCAUACGAUCUACGGAUGAAAGCGGGGGACCUUCGGGCCUCGCGCUUUAGGGUUGGCCGAUGGCUGAUUAGCUAGUUGGUGGGGUAAAGGCCUACCAAGGCGACGAUCAGUAGCUGGUCUGAGAGGACGACCAGCCACACUGGAACUGAGACACGGCCCAGACUCCUACGGGAGGCAGCAGUGGGGAAUUUUGGACAAUGGGCGAAAGCCUGAUCCAGCAAUGCCGCGUGUGUGAAGAAGGCCUUCGGGUUGUAAAGCACUUUUGUCCGGAAAGAAAUCCUUGGCCCUAAUACGGUCGGGGGAUGACGGUACCGGAAGAAUAAGCACCGGCUAACUACGUG